rnacentral:rRNA from 1 species
AUCGUGGGCACGAUGGCAGCAGUGGGGUAUUUUGGCACAAUGGGGGCAACCCUGAUCCAGACCAUGCCAAGACGUGAGUGAAGAAGGCCUUCGGGUUGUAAAGCUCUUUCAGCCGGGAAGAAAACGCAUGGGUUAAUACCCUGUGUGGAUGACGGUACCGGAAUAAGAAGCACCGGCUAACUACGUGCCAGCAGCCGCGGUAAUACGUAGGGUGCGAGCGUUAAUCGGAAUUACUGGGCGUAAAGCGUGCGCAGGCGGUUUGUUAAGAUAGGCGUGAAAUCCCCGGGCUCAACCUGGGAACUGCGUUUAUGACUGGCAGGCUAGAGUAUGGCAGAGGGGGGUGGAAUUCCACGUGUAGCAGUGAAAUGCGUAGAGAUGUGGAGGAACACCGAUGGCGAAGGCAGCCCCCUGGGCCAAUACUGACGCUCAUGCACGAAAGCGUGGGUAGCAAACAGGAUUAGAUACCCUGGUAGUCCACGCCCUAAACGAUGUCAACUAGGUGUUGGGAGGGUAAAACCUUUUAGUACCGGAGCUAACGCGUGAAGUUGACCGCCUGGGGAGUACGGCCGCAAGGUUAAAACUCAAAGGAAUUGACGGGGACCCGCACAAGCGGUGGAUGAUGUGGAUUAAUUCGAUGCAACGCGAAAAACCUUACCUACCCUUGACAUGUCCGGAAGCCCUUAGAGAUUUGGGUGUGCUCGAAAGAGAGCCGGAACACAGGUGCUGCAUGGCUGUCGUCAGCUCGUGUCGUGAGAUGUUGGGUUAAGUCCCGCAACGAGCGCAACCCUUGUCGUUAAUUGCCAUCAUUUAGUUGGGCACUUUAACGAGACUGCCGGUGACAAACCGGAGGAAGGUGGGGAUGACGUCAAGUCCUCAUGGCCCUUAUGGGUAGGGCUUCACACGUCAUACAAUGGUCGGUACAAAGGGUUGCCAACCCGCGAGGGGGAGCUAAUCCCAGAAAGCCGAUCGUAGUCCGGAUCGUAGGCUGCAACUCGCCUGCGUGAAGUCGGAAUCGCUAGUAAUCGUGGAUCAGCAUGUCACGGUGAAUACGUUCCCGGGCCUUGUACACACCCCCUCUCUCAAUGUA